AAAAUCUGUAAAUUCUGUAAUCUCAGAAAGAAAGAUGUGCACACAUAAUGUAUGUAUUUGCUUUAACCUAACAAGGUGGUGGCUUCGUCACCAGUGGAAGUCAUUAAAUCAGAAACAGGUUGCUUACUUAAUGAUAUUUCCUAGCUUAGCCAGAAAUAAUAGACUUGGCAGAGGACUUGACGAAACCCUGUUGCCUGUUUAAUGGAGGAAAUGAAAUCAAAUAAUUGUCACAGUCCUUUCCUAUCUUGGAGACCUAUGGAAAGAAAAGCUGGGAAAUAACCAAUGUAAGAGAUUUAGGCAAGAAAAUAUAAAGCAAAUGAAUGAUAGUGAGUGUGAAACAAGUCUUUUAGGUGACCUUGGGCUCAGGGUGUAUUUAAACACACAGACUGGAGGAAGUCAAAUCACGAACAGGAUUAAUGCAGGCUAAGGUUGUGAAAAGGACACCACUCAUCACCAAACGUCUUGGUAGUGCACCUGUAAGACUUUAUUUUUGCUGGUGACCCAAAGGAAGAUUCCCAGUCCUUGAGGGGGAGGACACCAGCCCUGCCACCAGCAGGCCUCAGCAGCUGCCACAGGCCUCACGCCACAGUCUUGUCACAAAAUUAGCGUCAAAAUAAGCUUCACCCUGCGUUCCCCAGAAAUCCCAUAGGGAGGAAGUCUCCUGUGAGGUCUUCUCCGUGUAGUUCACCAUGGUGACUCCAGCCCCAGCCUCGCCCUUGUGCUACCUGCCUGGGGCUCCGCGGGCAGGGCACCGGCCUUCCCGGCCCUUCCCAUCAGCAGGAGCAGGCCAGCAAGUGCUGCUUCGUGCCAGUUGCAGUGCUUCCAAACCUCUGAAGUUUUGAAAAGCUGGGUCUUGGUCCUACAGCCAUUCAAGAAGUUGUGUACCAGGUCAGAACAAGAGUCCAUCUAACACAGGAUUUACCUCCAAGAAUGACAGUAAGAUACACAGAACCAAGACCAACAAAGGGAAAAAGAGCAGUUACAUUAGUGAAAGUAUUUUCCAAAGGUGCAUUGCUUUAGUUUUGUUGUCUCUUAUAGCUUUGCUAUGAACCAAAUGUUCCUCUGGCGACCCUGAGGUUUUCACCCCUCGCUUCUGGGCGGAGAGCAAGGAAAUGCACCAUCAUGGUUUUGCUCUUGGAGUGGAAGAGACUGCCAAGGAUGAGAAGACGCAGAAGAGGAAGCAUCAUCCGAGGGAACGCUCCAAGAGUAUGCGGCCAGCUUCAAGGGAGAACAAAGCUGCAUUAACACUUUGGUUUGUUGCUGACUUUUAGGCUUGGAAAAUUGCCCAUUUGGCUGCUGAGGCAGCAGCCUGGGUUGUUUUGAAACUUGGCUGUGAAUAGAAUGCAAAGGGAAUUUUCCCCCUCCAGGUUCAUGCAUCACUAACCAUGCCAGGCGUGCUGCUCCGCGCCGUGCGCCCUGAAUGAAUAAACCGCCUCUCAGAAAGAACCGACGUGGCUAAUAUCUCCGCGUAAUUUGAACUGAGCCUUUUUGAAUUUAGCUCAUUUGGGGAAGGGAAAAAAACACUGAUGUUGCAAACGCUUAUGCAUCUGAUUAACUUCACCGCUUAGUUUAAUUUGCAGGAUCAGGGCCUUAGCUAUCAGGAGGCUUCGUGGCAUUACAGCCCUUCUAUACAUCUUCAUUAGAGCAUCUUUCUUACAAAUUUGCUUUCAUCUGUAUUUUUCCAGCCUCAGUCAUAAACUGGCCUGUAUCUGCCAGCAGCAGGGCCUGCCUAUGUCAGCUCCUCAGCGCCGGAGCUAAUCCCCUGUCCCCUUUGACAGGAAUGGGGGCAGCGCUGUGUCCUAAGGAUCGAUACACAGAAGUUGCUGUGUUGCUGCUCAUUUGCCUAAAAAAGUGAGGAGGCUAUGACUUUUAGUUGGCCUAGU